GAUGGGAUAGCUCAGUUGGUAGAGCAUGAGACUCUUGAUCUUAGGAUUGUAGGUUCAAGCCCCACACGGGGCAUCAUCAUCA